GUUGGGCCAGGCGCUUGUGGAAGAAAGUGAGAACUUUUUCUCUCUGUCAAAAGAGGUCAUCAGGCACACCUGGGAGCGCUCCCACUGGGCAGGCUGAUGAGUAACCUGUCAUUUCCCCGCACGAGGAAAGAAACGAAGGGGCUUCCCUUGAUUUACAAAAGGGAUUCCAGCGUGGCUGCUUUCGGAGAUCAAGAAAAUUGAACCUGGGAGAAACUAAGUGAUUUGCUCCAGCGACAAAGCGGAUCUGAACAGGAAGCAAGGGAGCAACCCGGGUCUCCUGAUCUCUGGUCCAGGCCACUUCCCAACAUCAGCCUGGUCCCCUCAUUGUGAAGUGUUUAGAAGACCCCCUAGCAGUAAACAGGCCCUCAGAGUGCACUUUUGGCUCUACACACCCAUUUUACAGUCAGGGAAACUGAGGCUCCAGGGUGGGGUCUUGUCCCUGGUCAAAUUUGAGGGAUCUAGUCCCCAGGCUCUAGGCAUUGACAUGCAGCCUAAGCAUCCCAUCCCCAUCAUUUUUGGUUUUCUUGGAGGUCCCAGGGCUUGGGCCCCUUUUAUCUUGCAAGACCACUUUGUUAGAGGGCAGAACACACAGGGCAAGGAGGCUGCCUCUGUUGGGCUCUAAUUUCUAGGCUUUUCCACUGUCCUCACCCAUCCCAGGCAGCUUCUGGACAACCAAAAGGCACCUACCUGUCCCACACCCUCCCAUUGUCCCUCUGAAACGUUUUGCUUCUACCCUGGGCAUCCAGACCAACUCCUGGCCUGUCUUCUAUCACACUCUACCCAUUGGAGUCCUUCAGCCUUCAAUGACGGAGGCCUCACCUGCUGUAGAGAAGAAACUUGGAUACUACCCCUUGGGUGCUACACUUGCCCAGAAAAAAAGCUGAGGUCAACAGCUAGAAUAAUUGGGGGUGUUUCACCCAGAGGAGACCAGAUUCCGUAAGGGGAAGCACUUUAUCAGUUAGAGCAGUGAUGGCGAACCUGUUAGAGCUUUCAGUGACACAAACAGCCCUCUGCUGCAUGCAUGCCUCUAACUGAGUUAGAGGUUAGGAGAGACUGGGUGCUCUAACUAACCGUGAGACUUCUGAAAGUACGCCAGUUCUCAGGGACUGUUUCCUUGCCUGAACAAUGGAAUGAUUACUAGAACCUAACUUACUAAGUUGUGAUAAUGACCGCUAACAUUUUUUGGAACAUUUGGUAGAUGCCCAGUACUAUUCUAAGCACUUUAAGUCUACCCAUUCAUUUACUCUGCACCACAUCUGUGACAUAGCUACUAUCUCAUUUAACAGAAAAACAAGACACACUUUACAAGAUUAAGUUACUUUGUCCAAGGUCACACAGAAAGCAAGUACCCUUCUUCUAAUGGAUAUCCCCCAAAUAAGACCUAAUCAGAAAAUAAGCCCUAGCAUGAUUCUUUAGAGUGCUCCUAAUAGAAGUCCUACCCCAAAAUAAGUCCUAGUUAAGACUGUCAGCCUGACAGUCCCAUUUAGAACAUCUAUGGCAGCACACAACGUACCUAUGGAAUUAUAAAAUACAGUGGUACCCAAUCAAAUUCAAUGGUUGGAUUCAAUGUUGAUCUUAUGGGGAAAUCUGAUUCAGUUCUCAUCCAAUUUGCUUUGGAAUCAUGAUCAUGAACCAAAGGACCAUUGUAAUAAUACUAACAUGUAAUUAAAUAUAAAUAAUAUUAUUGUUAUUAGUACUUAAAUGAUAACAUACAUUAUAAUUAAGUUUUUGUAAAUACCCAAGUGGCCACCCUUGGAGAAGAGGUAAAUGCUUAUGUAAACAGAUAAAGUCAAGUCCUAUUGCCAAAUGACCCAUCAGAGUACCAAUACAAUGCAUGAAUAAUGUGUGCACCUGAUAACGAACAGAUGUGCUUGUG